AUACGGAGGAUGCGAGCGUUAUCCGGAUUUAUUGGGUUUAAAGGGUGCGUAGGUGGUAGAUUAAGUCAGCGGUGAAAGUUUGUCGCUCAACGAUAAAAUUGCCGUUGAUACUGGUUUACUUGAGUAUAGUUGAAGUAGGCGGAAUGCGUGGUGUAGCGGUGAAAUGCAUAGAUAUCACUCAGAACACCGAUUGCGAAGGCAUCUGACGAAUCCGUCACUGACGCUGAGGCACGAAAGCGUGGGGAUAGAACAGGAUUAGAUACCCUGGUAUUCCACGCCGUAAACGAUGAUGACUAACCGUCGGCGAUAGACAGCCGGUGGCCAAGCGAAAGCGAUAAGUCAUCCACCUGGGGAGUACGUCGGCAACGAUGAAACUCAAAUGAAUUGGCGGGG
rnacentral:rRNA from 1 species